UACAGAGGGCGCGAGCGUUGUCCGGAAUCACUGGGCGUAAAGGGCGCGUAGGUGGCCACUAUAAGGCCGCGGUGAAAGUUCGGGGCUCAACCCUGAAUCGGCCGCGGCGACUGUAGGGCUUGGGCACUGUAGAGGCAGAUGGAAUUCCGGGUGUAGCGGUGGAAUGCGCAGAUAUCAGGAGGAACACCUGUGGCGAAAGCGGGUUGCUGGGCUGACACUGACGCUGAUGCGCGAAAGCUAGGGGAGCGAGCGGG
rnacentral:rRNA from 1 species